UGUGUGUGUGUGUGUGUGUGCAUAUAUGUGUGUGUGUGUGUGUGUGUGUGUGUGUGUGUGUGUUUGUGUGUAGUUCAGUGUGCUUGCAGGUUAAUGUGCGCAUGUGCCUCUACUGUACGUGUGUCUAUAAAGCAGAGUCAGUACUCAGACAGACAGACAGACAGACAGACAGACAGACAGACACCAUGUCUCCCUCCCAGUCCUCCCUACUAGUACUGCUGCUGAUGGUCUCCUGCUCCUGGGCCCCCCGCUCCUUAGGAGGAACCAUGACCUUCAUCUUCAUAGGGACCAACCCAGACGGGACCUACGGGGUGAGACCAAAGCACAAUGAUGAUGCUUCCUAUUAAAGAUGCAAUAUGCAGAAAUCACUCUGUCAUUUCCUGGUUGCUACAAUUGUAAUAGUUUGUCUAAUUUCAGUUUGUGACAAAACAAGCUUGUAUAGCGUAGAUCUAAACUGCUGUGAAAUAUAUUUUCAAUAACCAACAAUAUAGUAUUUUCAGCUUUUUGAAGCUGUUAUACAAAACUGAAAGUAAAAGACACAAAAAGACAGAUCUAUAACUCACAUUUCUACAUAUUGCAGCUUUAAGUGUUUUCUUCAACUGAGAGAAAUUAUAAUUUGUUCUUGUUGUCAUCUUGAAAAAUACAUUCUUCAUAGGGUUGGAAUAUUACUAGUAACUUUCUAAAUGUACCAGUAAACUAACAGAAUGUACCAGUAAACUAUCAGAAUGUACCAGUAAACUACCAACAUUUACCAGUAAACUACCAGCAUUUCGAAAACAUUCAAGGAGUUUUCCUAACGUGAAAUAUAUAAAAUAAUUUUUUGAAAUCCUAUUACAAAUCUAUAAAACAAAGCAGUAAAACAUUAUCCUUGUCACAAUCUUCGUCAUCUGAAGAGGAGAAAUCAUCGGACCAAUAUGCAGCGGGUAUAUUGCUCAUUUUCGAUUUAUUGAAGGUAAACACACUUAAACAAACUAACAACGAUAACAGCCCAGUAAGGUGCCAGACUAUAGUAGGAACAACCACCCACAAAACACAAGAGAAAACAAACCCACUUAAAUAUGGCCUCCAAUUAGAGGCAACGACAACCAGCUGCCUCUAACUGGAGGUCGUUCCCAAAACCCAAACAUAGAAAUAUAAAAACUAGAUAAACACAUAGAAAUAGAAAAUAUAGAACAUAAACCAAAAACCCCGAAACACACAAACCAAACACCCCCUGGCACACCCUGACCAAACUACAAUAACAAAUAACCCCUUUUACUGGUCAGAACGUGACUAUUCUAAAUAUAACCCAUAAAUUUAGUGAAUAUUGUUGCUGAGUGUUUCACCAUGGAAAAUCCUGUAUAUUUCAAUAUUCAAAAUGUCUCAAUAUAUCAAAUCAAAUGUAUUUAUAUAGCCCUUCUUACAUCAGCUGAUAUCUCAAAGUGCUGUACAGAAACCCAGCCUAAAACCCCAAGCAGCAAGCAUUGCAGGUGUAGAAGCACGGUGGCUAGGAAAAACUCCCUAGAAAGGCCAGAACCUAGGAAGAAACCUAGAGAGGAACCAGGCUAUGAGGGUUGGCCAGUCCCCUUCUGGCUGUGCCGGGUGGAGAUUAUAACAGAACAUGGCCAAGAUGUUCAAAUGUUCAGAAAUGACCAGCAGGGUCAAAUAAUAAUAAUCACAGUGGUUGUAGAGGGUGCAACAGGUCAGCACCUCAGGAGUAAAUGUCAGUUGGCUUUUCAUAGCCGAUCAUUGAGAGUAUCUCUACCGCUCCUGCUGUCUCUGUCUUGGUUGAUGUUUGAUGUAAAUGUUUUUGGGCCAAACUGGCGCCAGUCGCAGUUAUGACAAAAAUCAAUAGUUGGUAGUGUUGCAGAGUUAAUUGGUAAAUAUGUCAUUGUUGAUUAGAUGUUUUUUAAUUAAUUGGGCUAUUUUCUAACCACAUGGUCUAUCUAUUAGAAAGUUAUGGUAAACAUGGAAAUAGAUAUAAAGAAUAUGAAAAACAAAUCUGAAAACAUAUAUAAAUUACCAAUGUUUCCAUAGAUUUCCAAAAUGACAUUUGAAAAUUACUGGGGGUUUUGCUAACCUAUUCUUAGCUAAAGAGGCUUGUAAAAUGGACUCUACUGGUAGAAAUGGAACGCACAAUGUUUCCCUGUGGUCUGUGGUGCAUGUUUGCUGCCCUCUAGUGUUUAUUGUCAUGUAUGGCUCUCCUUUUCUCACUACAUAUACCCACUCCUAUUCACUUUGUAUACCCACUCCUAUUCACUACGUAUAGCCACUCCUAUUCACUACUUAUACCCACUCCUAUUCACUACAUAUACCCACUCCUAUUCACUACUUAUACCCACUCCUAUUCACUACUUAUACCCACUCCUAUUCACUACUUAUACCCACUCCUAUUCACUACUUAUACCCACUCCUAUUCACUACAUAUACCCACUCCUAUUCACUACUUAUACCCACUCCUAUUCACCACUUAUACCCACUCCUAUUCACUACAUAUACCCACUCCUAUUCACUACUUAUACCCACUCCUAUUCACUACUUAUACCCACCCCUAUUUACUACUUAUACCGACUCCUAUUCACUACCUAUGCCCACUCCUAUUCACAGCUUAUACCCGCUCCUAUUCACUACGUACACCCACUCCUAUUCACUGCUUAAAUCCUACCCUAUUCGACUACGUAUACCCACUCCUAUUCACUGCUUAUACCCACUCCUAUUCAAGUCUUCUCAGUAUACAAUGCCCCCCCCCCCCCCAUCCACCCCUACGGAUCUAUAAAACUUACUCCACAUUUUCAAAGUGAUAGAACAUUUUUGAAAAUGUUCCACAUUAAUACAAAAACCAUGUCUUCACACCCUGGGGGGCGGCAGGUAUCCUCGUGGUUAGAAUGUAGGGGGGGCAGGUAGCCUAGUGGUUAGAGUGUAGAGGCGGCAGGUAGCCUAGUGGUUAGAGUGUAGGGGCGGCAGGUAGCCUAGUGGUUAGAGUGUAGGGGGGGCAGGUAGCCUAGUGGUUAGAGUGUAGAGGGGUAGGUAGCCUAGUGGUUAGAGUGUAGAGGGGUAGGUAGCCUAGUGGUUAGAGUGUAGAGGGGUAGGUAGCCUAGUGGUUAGAGUGUAGGGGGUGUAGGUAGCCUAGUGGUUAGAGUGUAGGGGCGGCAGGUAGCCUAGUGGUUAGAGUGCAGGGGCGGCAGGUAGCCUAGUGGUUAGAGUGUAGGGGCGGUAGGUAGCCUAGUGGUUAGAGUGUAGUGGUGGCAGGUAGCCUAGUGGUUAGAGUGUAGGGGGGUAGGUAGCCUAGUGGUUAGAGUGUAGGGGGGUAGGUAGCCUAGUGGUUAGAGUGUAGGGGGGUAGGUAGCCUAGUGGUUAGAGUGUAGGGGGGUAGGUAGCCUUGUGGUUAGAGCUUUGGGCCAGUAACCGAAAGGUUGCUAGAUCGAAUUCCUGAACUGACAAGAUAAAAAUCUGUCGUUCUACCCCUGAACAAUGCGGUUAUUCCACUGUUCCUAGGCCGUCAUCGUCAAUAAGAAUUUGUUAUUAACUGUCUAGUAAAAUAAAACCCUUGAGAUAAUACUUGGUGGAAGCUCUGUUUACAGUUAUACAUUUUUUCUACCAAGAUUCUACCAACUUGGCACAAAUUUUAGGGUAACACAAAGUGCUCAAGCUCAGUAAAACCAUUCUGGUGUGUUUUUAUUAUGUGUAAAUGUCUCGCUGAACAUAAAACUUUCCCAGGGUUAGAUUUUCAGAAGAUUGAGGUAUUUCCAUCUAACUUUCCUUCUUCAUAUUUAUUUUGAUCCUGACAAACUCCCCAGUUCCUGCCGGUGACAAGCAUACCCAUAACAUGAUGCGGCCACCACAACACUUGAAAAUACAGAGAAUCAAUUACAAAAGACAUUAUUCUAAAGACACAACUGAAUGGUUCACCAAGAGGUUAUGAGUGUUCCUGAUUGGUCCAGUUUCCAUCCUCAUGACUUCAAUCAGCUUGGAAAUUUUAACUAGGCAAGUCAGUUAAGAGCAUAUUCUUAUUUACAAUGACAGCCUAGGAACAGUGGGUUAACUGCCUUGUUCAGGGGCAGAACAACAGUUUUUUAUCUUGGCGGCUCUGGGAUUUGAUCUUGCAACCAUUUGGUUACUAGUCUAACACUCUAACCACUAGGCUACCUGCCACCCCAAUACAAUCGAUACAAUACAAUCCCCGAGCUGACAAGGUAAAAAUCUGUCGUUCUGCCCGUGAACAAGGCAGUUAACCCACUGUUCCUAGGCUGUCAUUGAAAAUAGGACUUUGUCCUUAAUUAAUAACCUGUUGGGGCUAGGGGGUAGCCUUAAUCCCCCAGUUGGGAUUGCUAGCAAGGCGGGAAAUUCAAAACAUCAAAAAUCUAAUAAUUUCAAUUUCUCAAACAAUCAACUAUUUUACACCAUUUAAAAGAUAAACAUCUCCUUAAUCGAACCACAUUGUUCGAUUUUCAAAGAGGCUUUACGCCGAAAGCAUGAAGUUAGAUUACGUUAGGACAGUACAUAGCCCAAAAAGUACAAACAUCCAUUUUCAAUUCAAGGACAGGCGUCACCAAAAGCAGAAAACCAGCUAAAAUUAUGCACUAACCUUUGACAAUCUUCCUCAGAUGACACUCCUAGGACAUUAUGUUAUACAAUACAUGCAUUUUUGUUCCAUCAAGUUCAUAUUUAUAUCCAAAAACAGCAUUUUACAGUGGCAGAAUUUUACGUUCGUUCAAACAUGUCAAACGUUGUUUAGCAUCAAUCUUUAGGGCAAUUUUUAACGUGAAACAUCAGUAAUGUUUCAACCCGACCUCUCCUGUGUCUCCUGUGUCUUGAAAACCGUUUUUGAUAAAUGUCUCGCCUCACAUGCAUGCGCAGGUGCGCGCAAUAAUGAAGUGACGACGUCCCAGGGACGUCAACUUCUCUUCAUUGUCAUCCGGUCUCUGUUCAUCAUUGACGCUUCAAACAACUUUAUAAAGAUCGUUGACAUCUAGUGGAAGCCGUAGGAAGUGCGAAAUGAAUCCUUUGUCACUGUGUGA
rnacentral:lncRNA from 1 species